rnacentral:rRNA from 1 species
GACGAACGCUGGCGGCGCGCCUAACACAUGCAAGUCGAACGAGCGAGAGAGAGCUUGCUUUUCUCGAGCGAGUGGCGAACGGGUGAGUAACGCGUGAGGAACCUGCCUCAAAGAGGGGGACAACAGUUGGAAACGACUGCUAAUACCGCAUAAGCCCACGGGUCGGCAUCGACCAGAGGGAAAAGGAGCAAUCCGCUUUGAGAUGGCCUCGCGUCCGAUUAGCUAGUUGGUGAGGUAAUGGCCCACCAAGGCGACGAUCGGUAGCCGGACUGAGAGGUUGAACGGCCACAUUGGGACUGAGACACGGCCCAGACUCCUACGGGAGGCAGCAGUGGGGAAUAUUGCACAAUGGGGGAAACCCUGAUGCAGCGACGCCGCGUGGAGGAAGAAGGUCUUCGGAUUGUAAACUCCUGUUGUUGGGGAAGAUAAUGACGGUACCCAACAAGGAAGUGACGGCUAACUACGUGCCAGCAGCCGCGGUAAAACGUAGGUCACAAGCGUUGUCCGGAAUUACUGGGUGUAAAGGGAGCGCAGGCGGGAAGACAAGUUGGAAGUGAAAUCUAUGGGCUCAACCCAUAAACUGCUUUCAAAACUGUUUUUCUUGAGUAGUGCAGAGGUAGGCGGAAUUCCCGGUGUAGCGGUGGAAUGCGUAGAUAUCGGGAGGAACACCAGUGGCGAAGGCGGCCUACUGGGCACCAACUGACGCUGAGGCUCGAAAGUGUGGGUAGCAAACAGGAUUAGAUACCCUGGUAGUCCACACCGUAAACGAUGAUUACUAGGUGUUGGAGGAUUGACCCCUUCAGUGCCGCAGUUAACACAAUAAGUAAUCCACCUGGGGAGUACGACCGCAAGGUUGAAACUCAAAGGAAUUGACGGGGGCCCGCACAAGCAGUGGAGUAUGUGGUUUAAUUCGACGCAACGCGAAGAACCUUACCAAGUCUUGACAUCCCUUGACAGACAUAGAAAUAUGUUUUCUCUUCGGAGCAAGGAGACAGGUGGUGCAUGGUUGUCGUCAGCUCGUGUCGUGAGAUGUUGGGUUAAGUCCCGCAACGAGCGCAACCCUUAUGGUCAGUUACUACGCAAGAGGACUCUGGCCAGACUGCCGUUGACAAAACGGAGGAAGGUGGGGAUGACGUCAAAUCAUCAUGCCCUUUAUGACUUGGGCUACACACGUACUACAAUGGCGUUAAACAAAGAGAAGCAAGACCGCGAGGUGGAGCAAAACUCAGAAACAACGUCCCAGUUCGGACUGCAGGCUGCAACUCGCCUGCACGAAGUCGGAAUUGCUAGUAAUCGUGGAUCAGCAUGCCACGGUGAAUACGUUCCCGGGCCUU